GCUAAUGGCAUCCCCCAUGUUCAGGUUGCCCAGGGCAGAGAACCACACUGCCUAUAUCCAAUACCAGCAAUGUUUGGCGUGAACAUAAAAAUAUGCCUAUUUGAAAGCAUACACAAAUACUCAACAAUUUUGUCUUUUUGUUCCAAAGGGAACCAAAUGGCCAAAGAGAUGUUUACAACUUUGUUGUGAAUUAAAUCUGUAGAAGAAGACCAAAUUCUAAAGUUACCCAGACUGAAUAUGAAAACUGAUUACACAUUAGUCCAAUUAAGCAUGUUGGUUAUUUUAUACAGAUUUAUCAGCUCAAAUCAAAACUGAUCAUCACGCAAUUUGUGUAGGUAUUUGUUUGUUUGUUUCUUCUAUUAUGAAGGUGUUCAUGUCAAGAAAAAACAAAAACAGAACAAAAACGCUUCACGUAGCUUCACUUUGACUCUCCAGAUAGCUGACUAUUGUGUUUUCUUCCUGCUGCCGCAUGAGGAAGUGCAGAGAGACCGAACUCUGACAAGAAGAAGAUAAACUGAUCCUUCUUACGGUACCUUUUGGCAUCCGACACACAAACAAGGAAACAUUCUUCAUAUCUGAAGCCUUUAUUGCAUGCUGGCGACAACACAUGACAAGCUGCAGCACUGCGCGUGUGUUUUUAUCUGUUAAACAUUGUCAUCGACAAAGCAGACUGCCUGAGAUGCAUAAAGUUUCCGUCUGGGUCACACAAAGGAGCUGCAGGCCUAUUUUGACUGCUUAACAUGCGCAAUUAAUGAGUGACCUGUGCACACAUGCGAGCUGGUUUCUUCUGAUUGCUAUCUGUCUGGCUGCAGUGGAAAAAAAUAAAUAAAAGAGACACAAGGAAAUCAGUUAAGCUAAUCACUUCUAUUAUAUUCUCUUAUAGAGAGUACAACACCCUGACGCUUCUUAGGGUUUUCUGCUAGCAUCUGGAGAUAGCACAAGUGUAUCUCUAGAAUAAACACAGAAAUAUGCAUAGACAUAAUUCAAUCUCAGUUGAUUUGUUGUGACAUUUGAAUUUAAAUGUAACCAUUCAUUCCUAAUGCGCAGUAAAGUGUUUGUGCAGCAUUUGUGAAAUCCAAGAGUACCCCUCUAUAUCCUUAAGGCUUUUCUUUCACGGCUUGUUUUCAAUAUUUGCUGUUUUUUGCCCUUUUUUCGCCUCAAGUUUUGUUACCAAGCUACCAGUCAACACAGACUGCAACUCUAGCCGGCAGCACAGCACUUAAAAAGUCUUCUAUUGUAGAUGAUGUCGAUAUAAACAAGUCCACUGCAGCACUAUUUUCGAUCUUUAUUGCUGGAGGUGACAGCCUUGCGUGCUUCGCUCUGUUUUUCAAUAGAACCAUACAACAAACACAAAAACAGAAUCAGAAGGACCAUGAGAACUGCUGAAACUCCAUGAAACUCUUCACUGGCUGCUGUAAAACAAUAAAAAAAUAUGCAACUUUUUCCACAUCAUGACUCGUUUGGUGUUUAAAAAUUAUACAACCUAGAAAAUCCAUCCGAUUUUGAUGUCAUGUCCUGUCAUCCUGACACUGAGGCGAUCUAAAUACAGCCAGUGGCUACUUUAACACCUUUAAGGUGUGAGCUACACGUGUUUCCCACACUGAGUCUCAACACAAAAUAUGUAGCUCAGCAGAACAUCAUGCAGAAACAGCUUCACGAUAUGUUGUAAAUUUGUAUGCAACAUGCAUAUCACAAAAAACUUAUUUGACCACAGUAAGUGUUGGCUACUUAUGUAAGGAUUCCUAUGCAUAUUUGGUGACCUUUUGCCACUUAGAAAUCUUUUAUAAGAUAAAGUGUUUGGUGAGCUUGUCAGAAAUACACUAACUUUGUUAAAUUACUUGUUUAUUAUACUCAUGUGGAUAUUGCAAAAUUCAUCAACAUUAUUGCACAUUGCGCGUUAUAGGCCACGCCCCUUUGGUUCCGCCAUCCCAGACGCACGCCUUGGAAGUCUAUAUCCCUGAGACCUCGACACAUUCACUUGUAUGAUGAAAAAGACAGCGCGAUUUAAACAAGUGAGGAAGAACUUUGUCAAUCCUCUGCUGACAAACUGACAGCUAUUUUUGGUAAGGCAUCAGUGUUGAGAGAACUUGCAGUGAAUAAAGCAAGAAAGAAAAUAAAUUUGGCUCUCCGUUCGCAUGGGAGCACAGUAAGAUUUCAGCUGAGAGACAAGAAAAGCAGUCGCCUUUUUGCUGACUCGCCAUUGCCUCCUUUCAGCUUUUCUUCGCAAAUUUUCCGGAGUUUCAAACUGAAACCUUUGUUCCACUAGUGAACACACUCUGCAACAUUCACAGAUCCGUCAUCUUCUGCUUGCUUUGCAUCAUUCUCUAACCACAUGUGUUACAUGAUAAAAACCUACAUUACUCAAAUAUGUGCAGCCACUAAGUCAGGCUUGUUGAAUCCUAAAUGUGUUAGCAUGUAAAUCUAUGGCAAUGCUUCCGCUUAAUAUCAUUUGGGACAGAGAAGAAAAAAAAAAAAUCACUGAGAUCCAGAUUGCCACCCACCACAGCUGACUGUGUGGUGUAGGUGCUUAUUUACACAAAGAGAGGGAAGUGACAUAUGACCACAAAUGGUGACACAAUAACAGUUCUGUCCUACGAUACCUGCUGCCAACAAUGCUUGUCAGAUUAUUUAGCCUCUGGGAAUGGUUACACUGUGAAGUAAUCCCAGGGAAACCAGGCAUCACACAGCCCUUACACUGUACCUGACCUUGUAGCUGGCAGGUUAAAGUCAACAGGAUGUCCUGUCAGACUAAUUUAUACAUCAGACAUCUCACGUUCCCACUGAAAGAAUUAGGUGAACAAAGAAAAAAAGGUUUGAGGACCGGACUCAAAUGACAAACACUUCCUAAAAAGUAUCAGCUGAUACACCCUCUGCUCCUAUCUUCCAAGCAGCUCAUCUGUGUCUUCGGAGACUCUAUUGUCAGGGUCCAACAACCUUUUUUCCCAUUUAACCAAAACGUUUGUGCAGGUCAUCUUUAGGUGUGCGCUUUUCAUCCGGUGUUAAAGAGGAAGUGUGCUCCUUUUGUUACAGCAAAAUGCCUUAUGGUGUAUCUUGAGCACACUGCAGUCUAAACGUAGCGCUGGACUCCAGAGAACAAUGGGCAAUGGAAGUCGCACGAGAAAACUGCUGAAUCAUCAGUUGCACUGGGAGGACACAAGACAAAACGGCGCACUGAAGUUUGCUCACCGAGAAGCCCGAGUCCACCGUGCUCCACAGCCAUUCGCUGCAGGGCGUGGUUCAUCACCUGGCCGGUGAGGCUGGGGGUCUGCGUGGCUUUGUC